GGCACGGUGGCUGAGUGGUUAUAGCGUUAGACUCGAAUAAGCAAGUUCAUCUAAUCCGUUCGCGGGCGCAGGUUCGAAUCCUGCCCGUGUCG